rnacentral:rRNA from 1 species
GACGAACGCUGGCGGCGUGCUUAACACAUGCAAGUCGAACGGUAAGGCCCUUCGGGGUACACGAGUGGCGAACGGGUGAGUAACACGUGGGUGAUCUGCCCUGCACUUCGGGAUAAGCCUGGGAAACUGGGUCUAAUACCGGAUAGGACCACUGCCUGCAUGGGUGGUGGUGGAAAGCUUUUGCGGUGUGGGAUGGGCCCGCGGCCUAUCAGCUUGUGGGUGGGGUGAGGGCCUACCAAGGCGACGACGGGUAGCCGGCCUGGGAGGGUGACCGGCCUCACUGGGACGGAGAUACGGCCCAGACUCCUACGGGUGCCAGCAGUGGGUAAUAUUGCAAAAUGGGCGCAAGCCUGAUGCAGCGACGCCGCGUGAGGGAUGACGGCCUUCGGGUUGUAAACCUCUUUCAGCACCGACGAAGCGCAAGUGACGGUAGGUGCAGAAGAAGGACCGGCCAACUACGUGCCAGCCGCCGCCGUAA